rnacentral:rRNA from 1 species
UACGUAGGGUGCAAGCGUUAAUCGGAAUUACUGGGCGUAAAGCGUGCGCAGGCGGUUGUGCAAGACCGAUGUGAAAUCCCCGGGCUUAACCUGGGAAUGGCAUUGGUGACUGCACGGCUAGAGUGUGUCAGAGGGGGGUAGAAUUCCACGUGUAGCAGUGAAAUGUGUAGAGAUCGGGAGGAACACCGGUGGCGAAGGCGGGUCUCUGGGCAUCUCCUGACGCUGAGGCGCGAAAGCGUGGGGAGCAAACGGG